rnacentral:lncRNA from 1 species
ACCAAGUUCGCUGUCUUUGACCACAUAGCGUCCGCUUUCCAAAACUUCUCCAAGCUCCGCCCUCAGCUAACCUCCUCUCCAACUCUUGUACUUUCUCCUUAGUCAAAAUACCCCAUCUAAUCCGCGGUUGUACCCGAGCACCCCUCCUCUUCCUCUUCACCCAAAGACCGACAUCCAUCACUAGGAGUUUAUGAAGAGUCGAAAGGGACUCUCCCGGAAUAACCUUGCAGUC